UACGUAGGGUGCAAGCGUUGUCCGGAAUUAUUGGGCGUAAAGAGCUCGUAGGCGGCUUGUCGCGUCGGCUGUGAAAACCUGGGGCUCAACCCCGGGCUUGCUUUCGAUACGGGCAGACUAGAGUGUGGUAGGGGAGACUGGAAUUCCUGGUGUAGCGGUGAAAUGCGCAGAUAUCAGGAGGAACACCGGUGGCGAAGGCGGGUCUCUGGGCCACUACUGACGCUGAGGAGCGAAAGCGUGGGGAGCGAACAGG
rnacentral:rRNA from 1 species